AACGAACGCUGGCGGCAUGCUUAACACAUGCAAGUCGAACGAGACCUCCGGGUCUAGGGGCGCACGGGUGCGUAACGCGGGGGAACCUGCCCUUAGGUUCGGAAUCACUCCCCGAAGGGGGUCCUAAUACAGGUUAAUGUCUUAGCACCAAAGAUGUAUCGCUUCUGGAUGGGCGCGGGUUGGAUUCGCCAGUUGGUAGGGUAAUAGCCUAUCAAGGAGUGGAUGCAUAGCUGGUCGGAGAGGAUGAUAAGCAACACUGGGACUGAGACCCGGACUAGACUGCGACGGGAGGGAGCAGUAUGUAGUAUUGUGCGAUGAGGGAAGGCGUAAUCCAGCAGUGCGGCGUAAGUGAUGAAGGCGUUAGGGUUCUAAAGCUCUUUUACCCGGAAUGAUAAUGACAGUACCGGGUGAAUAAGCACCGGCUAACUCCGUG
rnacentral:rRNA from 1 species